UACGUAGGGGGCAAGCGUUGUCCGGAAUCAUUGGGCGUAAAGAGCGUGUAGGCGGCUCGGUAAGUCCGCUGUGAAAGUCCAGGGCUCAACCCUGGAAUGCCGGUGGAAACUGUCGAGCUAGAGUCCGGAAGAGGCGAGUGGAAUUCCUGGUGUAGCGGUGAAAUGCGCAGAUAUUAGGAGGAACACCAAUUGCGAAGGCAGCUCGCUGGGACGGUACUGACGCUGAGGAGCGAAAGCGUGGGGAGCGAACAGG
rnacentral:rRNA from 1 species